UAUUUGCAUAGCGUGUUUAGAAGUGUGACUUUGGUUCAUCUAACUUCUCUCUAAAUCCACUCCGAAAGAUGCGCUAUUUCUUUCAAUGACAUCAAAUCGAAUGGCAAAGCCUACCAAUGAAAACAUGUUGACCACAUAACCCUCAAGUUUUGAGGGAAAACAAAGCUUUAAAUGCGGGAAAUCAGCGACUGCGUGCGUGAGGUGAGAAUUCAACAGUGAAGACAAAACUCGCUGAAAUUGUCGCCGAAAGGGAGCCCCAGAGACUUUCAGCUGCAUUUAACAGUAUUUCCAAAGCCUGAAGGAUAACAUAUAUAGAAAGUAUGAUGGGACACUGGAUGCUCAUAGGAAAUCAUGCAGACAGUACCAGACGGUCAUCAUAAAACAGCAGAAAGUCCUAAAUGCUGCGGAGACUAUUAACUGGCCAGAGGAGAAGGAGAGGUUUGCCAAUGUUCUGAAUGAUGUACAAAACAUUUCAUCAGAGAAGAGCGAGGAAGAGGGAGAUGGGGUUGUCUUCUUCUUUAAAUCAUUGAAUUGGGAGAGAAAAAAGCUUAGGAUUUUGAAGGUGUUAGAAAGCCAUCACUGACAAUGUAACUUAGUCGCAGGGCUUUGCUCAAGAUGGCAAAGAGAGUGAGAGGAGUAAGACGAUCAGACAGACCCUGUCCAGAGAACACCAAGAAAUAGGCAGUAUUAAAGCGAACCUCCAAUGAGAUGCUUGACGGCAGUGCACCAAGAUCUCUACAUACCUCUACCCCGCAGCGUCCAACACAAUCCAAUAGUAUUUAGUCCAUAUUUGUCAGCAGGGAAUAGGGUUAUGUAAGUCUAUUUCUUUUUAUAUCAUCAAUACAAAAUAUUUCUUAAAAAUCAAAUACGAUUUACAAGGCUCUUGUUAAUUUUUGGCUAGAGCUUUUCAGCCUUUUUAAAUAAUUUUCAUGAUGUUUUUGUCUCUAUUCUACAUUUGUAUAUACAUAUAAAAACAUUGAUUAUUUCCUACUUUCAUAAAAUAUGCUUUUGAGUCAAGCUGACUGUUUGAUUUUUGUUCUACAUUAGUUUUCGUAGUUAGCAUUUUAUCACAUAAAAGAUGGCUUUUUAGAUGUAAGUUAUAAGAUUUGUAUAUCAAAUCAGAUUUCAUGCCAUUAUGCACAUGUAAGAGACGACAGAGGAUUUAAAUAAAAAUAGAAUGGAAGCUUAA